rnacentral:rRNA from 1 species
GACGAACGCUGGCGGCGUGCCUAAUACAUGCAAGUCGAACGCUUCUUUCCUCCCGAGUGCUUGCACUCAAUUGGAAAGAGGAGUGGCGGACGGGUGAGUAACACGUGGGUAACCUACCCAUCAGAGGGGGAUAACACUUGGAAACAGGUGCUAAUACCGCAUAACAGUUUAUGCCGCAUGGCAUAAGAGUGAAAGGCGAUUUCGGGUGUCGCUGAUGGCUGGACCCGCGGUGCAUUAGCUAGUUGGUGAGGUAACGGCUCACCAAGGCCACGAUGCAUAGCCGACCGGAGAGGGGGAUCGGCCACACUGGGACUGAGACACGGCCCAGACUCCUACGGGAGGCAGCAGUAGGGAAUGGUCGGCAAUGGACGAAAGUCUGACCGAGCAACGCCGCGUGAGUGAAGAAGGUGUUCGGAUCGUAAAACUCUGUUGUUAGAGAAGAACAAGGACGUUAGUAACUGAACGUCCCCUGACGGUAUCUAACCAGAAAGACACGGCUAACUACGUG